UGAACACUGAACACUGAACUUGUACACUGAACACUGUACACUGAACCUGUACACUGUACACUGAACCUGAACACU